UGGAGAUAGAGAUAAGGGUGUGUAUGGC
rnacentral:piRNA from 1 species